rnacentral:rRNA from 2 species
UAGGGAAUCUUCGGCAAUGGACGAAAGUCUGACCGAGCAACGCCGCGUGAGUGAAGAAGGUUUUUGGAUCGUAAAACUCUGUUGUUAGAGAAGAACAAGGACGUUAGUAACUGAACGUCCCCUGACGGUAUCUAACCAGAAAGCCACGGCUAACUACGUGCCAGCAGCCGCGGUAAUACGUAGGUGGCAAGCGUUGUCCGGAUUUAUUGGGCGUAAAGCGAGCGCAGGCGGUUUCUUAAGUCUGAUGUGAAAGCCCCCGGCUCAACCGGGGAGGGUCAUUGGAAACUGGGAGACUUGAGUGCAGAAGAGGAGAGUGGAAUUCCAUGUGUAGCGGUGAAAUGCGUAGAUAUAUGGAGGAACACCAGUGGCGAAGGCGGCUCUCUGGUCUGUAACUGACGCUGAGGCUCGAAAGCGUGGGGAGCAAACAGG